GGGCGUAAGGGCUCGCAGGCGGUUUCUUAAGUCUGAUGUGAAAGCCCCCGGCUCAACCGGGGAGGGUCAUUGGAAACUGGGGAACUUGAGUGCAGAAGAGGAGAGUGGAAUUCCACGUGUAGCGGUGAAAUGCGUAGAGAUGUGGAGGAACACCAGUGGCGAAGGCGACUCUCUGGUCUGUAACUGACGCUGAGGAGCGAAAGCGUGGGGAGCGAACAGGAUUAGAUACCCUGGUAGUCCACGCCGUAAACGAUGAGUGCUAAGUGUUAGGGGGUUUCCGCCCCUUAGUGCUGCAGCUAACGCAUUAAGCACUCCGCCUGGGGAGUACGGUCGCAAGACUGAAACUCAAAGGAAUUGACGGGGGCCCGCACAAGCGGUGGAGCAUGUGGUUUAAUUCGAAGCAACGCGAAGAACCUUACCAGGUCUUGACAUCCUCUGACAAUCCUAGAGAUAGGACGUCCCCUUCGGGGGCAGAGUGACAGGUGGUGCAUGGUUGUCGUCAGCUCGUGUCGUGAGAUGUUGCGUUAAGUCCCGCAACGAGCGCAACCCUUGAUCUUAUUUGCCAGCAU
rnacentral:rRNA from 1 species